ACACCCGUAUUAUUGCUGUUAUGGGUUUGAACGGAGCUUAGCCUUGUUCAUUUUUUUACACAAUAGCCCUGUAAAAAAUUGAACACACCCCACUGAGCACCCUGAAGGAUCGGCGUUUGGCCCCCUUUGAAAGGCCUUGGAACGCCCCAAAAAUGGCCAUCAUGCCCCACUACAGGGCAC
rnacentral:sRNA from 1 species